GGGCCAGCAGCGGCUGCUUGGGUCCCCUCCCCGCUUCUCCUGCCUUUCCUGACUGCGCCCAGCCGGGCAGCUCUCAGCCUCCCUCGGUUCAGCGCUCGGGACGUCGCUGCUCCAAGCCCCUGGCUUUACUAGUUCUGGCUCUGACUAGUCAGUGCUAGCGGCAGCCUCCCCUCCUGCCAGCUUUGGCGCCAGGUGAAGCAUCUGGUUUGGAAACAUUGCUGCAAAGGGCAUGUGAACAAGGACUGUCAGAACUGGGAAGCUAAUCUGUAAAAGGUAUAUGAUGAGAAUCAAACAAGCCUUCCGCUAUUGUUUGCUGAGCAACUGGAUCCACCUUUGAGAAGUACUGUAAUCUGCCAUUGUGUUAUAGCAUGGAGAACAGCGAAACGCCCUCCCUCCUCCUCAGCAC